rnacentral:lncRNA from 1 species
GCGGGCUUCACCGCGUGGGCGCGGCAGUCGCCACUCACCGAGGUUGACGACCUUGAGCGCCGUGAAGAAGCGGUUCUGCCGGGCCAGGCGUGGGUUCUCACUAUGUUGCUUAAGCUGGUCCAGAACUCAAGCCAGUCUCUCACUUCAGCCUCUUGAGUCGUUGGGAUUACAGAAGCCACCAUGUCCAACUGCUGAUCUUGAACUCCUGGGCUCAAGCGAUCCUCCCACCUCGGCCUCCCAAUGUGUUGGGAUUACAGGCGUGAGUUGCGGCGCCCAGCUGAUAUGUAUACUUUUC